rnacentral:misc_RNA from 1 species
AGAGUUUGUAACACCCGAAGCCGGUGGCGUAACCUUUAGGGAGCGAGCCGUCUAAGGUGGGACAAAUGAUUAGGGUGAAGUCGUAACAAGUUAGCCGUAGGAGAACCUGCGGCUGGAUCACCUCCUUUCUAAGGAAACAGACUGAAAGUCUGACGGAAACCUGCACACACGAAACUUUGUUUAGUUUUGAGGGGACGACCCUCAAGCACCCUAGCGGGUGCGACUUUGUUCUUUGAAAACUGGAUAUCAUUGUAUUAAUUGUUUUAAAUUGCCGAGAACACAGCGUAUUUGUAUGAGUUUCUGAAAAAGAAAUUCGCAUCGCAUAACCGCUGACGCAAGUCAGUACAGGUUAAGUUACAAAGGGCGCACGGUGGAUGCCUUGGCACUAGGAGCCGAUGAAGGACGGAACUAAUACCGAUAUGCUUCGGGGAGCUAUAAGUAAGCUUUGAUCCGGAGAUUUCCGAAUGGGGGAACCCAGUACACAUCAGUGUAUUGCUUGUCAGUGAAUACAUAGCUGGCCGGCGGCAGACGCGGGGA